rnacentral:rRNA from 1 species
AGUCGAGCGGUAGCACAGAGAGCUUGCUCUCGGGUGACGAGCGGCGGACGGGUGAGUAAUGUCUGGGAAACUGCCUGAUGGAGGGGGAUAACUACUGGAAACGGUAGCUAAUACCGCAUAACGUCGCAAGACCAAAGUGGGGGACCUUCGGGCCUCAUGCCAUCAGAUGUGCCCAGAUGGGAUUAGCUGGUAGGUGGGGUAACGGCUCACCUAGGCGACGAUCCCUAGCUGGUCUGAGAGGAUGACCAGCCACACUGGAACUGAGACACGGUCCAGACUCCUACGGGAGGCAGCAGUGGGGAAUAUUGCACAAUGGGCGCAAGCCUGAUGCAGCCAUGCCGCGUGUGUGAAGAAGGCCUUCGGGUUGUAAAGCACUUUCAGCGGGGAGGAAGGCGAUGAGGUUAAUAACCUUAUCGAUUGACGUUACCCGCAGAAGAAGCACCGGCUAACUCCGUGCCAGCAGCCGCGGUAAUACGGAGGGUGCAAGCGUUAAUCGGAAUUACUGGGCGUAAAGCGCACGCAGGCGGUCUGUCAAGUCGGAUGUGAAAUCCCCGGGCUCAACCUGGGAACUGCAUUCGAAACUGGCAGGCUAGAGUCUUGUAGAGGGGGGUAGAAUUCCAGGUGUAGCGGUGAAAUGCGUAGAGAUCUGGAGGAAUACCGGUGGCGAAGGCGGCCCCCUGGACAAAGACUGACGCUCAGGUGCGAAAGCGUGGGGAGCAAACAGGAUUAGAUACCCUGGUAGUCCACGCUGUAAACGAUGUCGAUUUGGAGGUUGUGCCCUUGAGGCGUGGCUUCCGGAGCUAACGCGUUAAAUCGACCGCCUGGGGAGUACGGCCGCAAGGUUAAAACUCAAAUGAAUUGACGGGGGCCCGCACAAGCGGUGGAGCAUGUGGUUUAAUUCGAUGCAACGCGAAGAACCUUA